rnacentral:rRNA from 1 species
AAGGGCGGACGACGGGUAGCCGGCCUGAGAGGGCGACCGGCCACACUGGGACUGAGACACGGCCCAUACUCCUACGGGAGGCAGCAGUGGGGAAUAUUGCACAAUGGGCGAAAGCCUGAUGCAGCGACGCCGCGUGAGGGAUGACGGCCUUCGGGUUGUAAACCUCUUUCAGCAGGGAAGAAGCGAAAGUGACGGUACCUGCAGAAGAAGCGCCGGCUAACUACGUGCCAGCAGCCGCGGUAAUACGUAGGGCGCAAGCGUUGUCCGGAAUUAUUGGGCGUAAAGAGCUCGUAGGCGGCUUGUCACGUCGGAUGUGAAAGCCCGGGGCUUAACCCCGGGUCUGCAUUCGAUACGGGCUAGCUAGAGUGUGGUAGGGGAGAUCGGAAUUCCUGGUGUAGCGGUGAAAUGCGCAGAUAUCAGGAGGAACACCGGUGGCGAAGGCGGAUCUCUGGGCCAUUACUGACGCUGAGGAGCGAAAGCGUGGGGAGCGAACAGGAUUAGAUACCCUGGUAGUCCACGCCGUAAACGUUGGGAACUAGGUGUUGGCGACAUUCCACGUCGUCGGUGCCGCAGCUAACGCAUUAAGUUCCCCGCCUGGGGAGUACGG